GAUGAACGCUGGCGGCGUGCCUAAUACAUGCAAGUCGAACGCGAGCACUUGUGCUCGAGUGGCGAACGGGUGAGUAAUACAUAAGUAACCUGCCCUAGACAGGGGGAUAACUAUUGGAAACGAUAGCUAAGACCGCAUAGGUACGGACACUGCAUGGUGACCGUAUUAAAAGUGCCUCAAAGCACUGGUAGAGGAUGGACUUAUGGCGCAUUAGCUGGUUGGCGGGGUAACGGCCCACCAAGGCGACGAUGCGUAGCCGACCUGAGAGGGUGACCGGCCACAUUGGGACUGAGACACGGCCCAAACUCCUACGGGAGGCAGCAGUAGGGAAUCUUCCACAAUGGGACGAAAGUCUGAUGGGAGCAACGCCGCGUGAGUGAAGAAGGGUUUCGGCUCGUAAAGCUC
rnacentral:rRNA from 1 species